rnacentral:rRNA from 1 species
GAUACCCCUGUAGUCCUGGCCGUAAACGAUGAACACUAGGUGUCGGGGGAAUCGACCCCCCCGGUGUCGUAGCCAACGCGUUAAGUGUUCCGCCUGGGGAGUACGCACGCAAGUGUGAAACUCAAAGGAAUUGACGGGGGCCCGCACAAGCGGUGGAGUAUGUGGUUUAAUUCGAUGCAACGCGAAGAACCUUACCAGGGUUUGACAUCCUGCGAAUCCCUUGGAAACUUGGGAGUGCCUUCGGGAGCGCAGUGACAGGUGGUGCAUGGCUGUCGUCAGCUCGUGUCGUGAGAUGUUGGGUUAAGUCCCGCAACGAGCGCAACCCACGUCUUUAGUUGCCAGCAUUUAGUUGGGCACUCUAGAGAGACUGCCGGUGAUAAACCGGAGGAAGGUGUGGAUGACGUCAAGUCAUCAUGCCCCUUACAUCCUGGGCUACACACGUACUACAAUGCUACGGACAAAGGGCAGCAAACUCGCGAGAGCUAGCAAAUCCCAUAAACCGUGGCUCAGUUCAGAUCGUAGGCUGCAACUCGCCUACGUGAAGGAGGGAUCGCUAGUAAUCGCAGGUCAGCAUACUGCGGUGAAUACGUUCCCGGGCCUUGUACACACCGCCCGUCACACCAUGGAAGUUGGCCACGCCCGAAGUCGUUACUCCAACCCUUGUGGAGGAGGAUGCCGAAGGUGGGGCUGAUGACUGGGGUGAAGUCGUAACAAGGUAGCCGUACCGGAAGGUGC